GUCUGCAUAUAUAUAAUUGUCAAGGAAAAUUCUAGAACAAUCUAUACUGGAACAUCCUAGAAAGUUACAAUGGAAGUUUCUAGUAAAAUGUAGAAGUUUAUAUAACGCAUCUUUUAUUAGGAUCAUUCUGGAAAGUUCCAAUCAUUCUGUAAUUGUUCCAGUGAUUUCUAAACUGCACAGUUCUAAGAUUAUUCUGUAAACAACUAUCAGGCCAUACAACACAAAUUAGGCCAACAUAAAUAAAUACAAUAAUUACAAUAUCAUAACACCUCCCCCCUUAAAAGAAGUUUUAGUGUAACAAAAACUUACAAUGAAUAAUAUGAACAAAAAUACAUAGUAUACACAAAGUGGUUUAAUAAGCUCUAGAUAAAGCAUCUGCUAUUACAUUAUCUUUACCCUUAAUAUGUGUUUUACAAUUACAUCAUAUUCCUGUAACAAUAAACUCCACCUAGUCAACCUCUGAUUCUUGUUUCUC
rnacentral:lncRNA from 1 species